rnacentral:rRNA from 1 species
UACGGGGGGGGCAAGCGUUGUUCGGAAUUACUGGGCGUAAAGGGCUCGUAGGCGGCCAACUAAGUCAGACGUGAAAUCCCUCGGCUUAACCGGGGAACUGCGUCUGAUACUGGAUGGCUUGAGAUUGGGAGAGGGAUGCGGAAUUCCAGGUGUAGCGGUGAAAUGCGCAGAUAUCAGGAGGAACACCAAUGGCGAAGGCAGCACUCUGGGACGGUACUGACGCUGAGACGCGAAAGCGUGGGGAGCAAACAGG